rnacentral:lncRNA from 1 species
AUGCAGGAUGUCUUAGAGGAUAAAAAUGAGCGGGCAGAUGAAGAGAUACUCAGGGCGAGGUUCAGAAAAGUGCACCGAGCCCACCUCAUGGAUGUGAGAAAGAAAAGUGGCUCAGAGCAGCCUGGGAAACGUGAGGUCUGUGACCUGGGUCAGGCCCAGAGAGGCCUGAGCAGGAGGCGUGUGAAGUCCCCGCACCGUGCCAGGCGGGAAACUGUUUCAGGGCAUUUGCGUUUCUUUCCCUGUAGUUUCAGGCUAGGUGAUAAAUUACCUACAAUGUUGCCACAAGACGCACAAUGUAACCGUCACUCAUUAUCUUCAUGUUCCUGGAAUUUUUUUUUUUUUUUUAGUCUAAAAAAUAAAAAUAGGGAGUGGGAGUGUAGCCAGCUCUGGGGCGGGGCGGAGAUGGCGUGCGGAGGCGGAGUGAGUGAGUAGCCAUGCACCCGCCUGGGUGACAGUGCGAGACUCGUCAAAAAAAAAAAAAAAAAAAAAAGAGAUAGAGUGUAGCCCUGCCUGCCAGGCUGGAGUGUAGCGGUGCAGUCAUGGCUCAGGGCAGCGCCAACCUCCUGGGCUCAAGCUGUCAGAGGCACGUGAACCAGAGCAACUCCAUCUUGAAUGGGGCUGGGUAACAUGAGACUGGGACCUAUGGGGCCACGUUCCCAGACAGUUAUGGUAUUCUGAGUCACAGGGUGAGACAGGCGGUCAGCACAAGAUACAGGUCAUAAAGACCUUGCUGAUAAAACAGGUUGCAGCAAAGGAGCCGCCCAAAUCCCACCAAAACCAAGAUGGCGACGAGAGUGACCUCUGGUUGUCCUCACUGCCACACUCCCACCAGCGCCAUGGCAAUGGCAGGAAGUCACCAUACACGGUCUAAAAAGGGGAGGUAUGAAUCAUCCACCCCUCGUUUCGCAGAUCAUCAAGAAAUAACCACAAAAACAGAGAACCAGUGGUCCUCGGGGCUGCUUUGUCUAUGCAGUAGCCAUUCUUUUUUUUUUUUUGGAGAUGGAGUCUUGCACUGUCACCCAGGCUGGAGUGCAGUGGAAUGAUCUCGGCUCACUGCCACCUCUGCCUCCUGGGUUCUUGGCAUCCUCCUGCCUCAGCCUAGCUGAGUAUCUGGGUUUACAGGCGCCCGCCACCACGCCCGGCUAAUUUUUUGUAUUUUUAGUAGAGCCAGGGUUUCAGUGUGUUAGCCGGGCUGGUCUCGAACUCCUGACCUCAUGACCUGCCUGCCUCAGCCUCCCAAAGUGCCGGGAUUACAGGCACGAGCCACCGCGCCCGGCCAGAGUAGCCAUUCUUUACUCCUUUACUUCCUAAUAAACUUGUUUUCACUUUACUCUAUGGACUCGCCCUGAAUUCUUUCUUGUGAGAGAUCCAAGAACCCGCUCUUGGGGUCUGGAUUGGGACCCCUUUCCCGUAACACAGCCAUUCUCUCGCCUCAGCCUCCCAAGUAGCUAAGACCACGGGUGCGUGCCACCGAGCCUAAUUUUUAAUUUAUAUUUUUAAGAGAUAGGGUCUCCAGCCUGACCAACAUGGUGAAACCCUGUCUCUACUAAAAAUACAAACAAUGAGCCUGGCGUGGUGGUGGGCGCCUGUAGUCCCAGCUACUCGGGAGACUGAGGCAGGAGAUUUGAUUGAACCUGGGAGACGGAGGUUGCAGUGAGCCAAGAUCGCGCCAUUGCACUGCAGCCUGGGCGACAGUGAGACUCUGUCUCAAAAAAAAAAAAAAAAAAAAAAAAGAUGGGGUCUCAAAGUGCAGCCCAGGCUGAUCUCAAACUCCUGACCUCAAGUGAUCCUCUCGCUUCAGCCUUCUGAAGUGCUGGGAUUACAGGCAUGAGCCACCACACCGGGCCCACUGUGUAGGCAGUGAGUCACACCUGUAAUCCCAGUACUUUGGGAGGCCGAGGUGGGAGAAUCUUGAGCUGAGGAGUUUGAGACCAUCCUGGGUGACACAGUGAAACCCUGUCUUUGCUAAAAAUAAGAAAAUUAGCUGGGUGUGGUUGGGCACGGUGGCCCACGCCUGUAAUCCCAGCACUUUGGGAGGCUGAGGCAGGUGGAUCACGAGGUCAGGAGAUCGAGACCAUCCUGGCUAACACAGUGAAACCCCAUCUCUACUAAAAAUACAAAAAAUUAGCCGGGCGCGGUGGUGGGCGCCUGUAGUCCCAGCUACUCGGGAGGCUGAGGCAGGAGAAUGGCGUAAACCCGGGAGGCGGAGCUUGCAGUGAGCAGAGAUUGCACCACCACUGCACUCCAGCCUGGGCAACAGAGCGAGACUCCACCUCAAAAAAAAAAAAAAAAAGAAAAGAAAAGAAAAUUAGCUGGGCGUGGUAGCGCACACCUGUAGUCCCAGCUACUCUGGAGGCUGAGGACAGGAUGGCUUGAGCCUGAGAGGUAGAGAUUGAAUGAGCUGAGAUCAUGUCCCUGGGUGACAGAGCAAUAGCCUGGGAAAAGGAAAGGAGAGGAGAAAGGAAAGUCAGGCCGGGCACGGUGGCUCACGCCUGUAAUCCCCGCACUUUGGGAGGCCGAGGUGGGCGGAUCACUUGAGGUCGGGAGUUCGAGACCAGCCUGGCCAACAGGGUGAAACCCCCGUUUCUACUAAAAAUACAAAAUUAGACAGGUGUGGUGGUGUGUGCCUGUAGUCCCAGCUACUCCAGGGGCUGAGGCAGGAGAAUCACUUGAACCCAGGAGGCAGAGGCUGCGGUGAGCUGAGAUCAUGCCACUGCACUCUGGCCUGGGCGACAGAGCAAGACUCCAUCUCAAAAAAAAAAAAAAAAAAGAGAAAAGGAGAGGGAACAGAGGCUUGUAGUUCUGCAGGCUGCACGGGCAUGGUGUCAGUAUCUGCUUGGCUUCUGGGGAGGCCUCGGGAACCACCCAUGGUGGUGGAAGGCCAAUGGGGAGCCAGGGUAUCCCACGGUGAGGGAGGAAGCAAGAGAGAAGGACUGGGAGGGACCGAGAGCCAGACCAACGGGCUGAGCGGCGCCCACCCAGGUUUCCAGAGGAAGGAGAUUUUGGGUGGGAAACAAACUUCACCGGGUGUGGCUGUUCGUCACAGGAACGUGUCCUGCUGGUCACUUACGAUUGCUGGGCCUGUGACAGCGGCAACCGGUCAGGCAUGGGCAGGGCAGGAGAGGGCUCCCCUCCCACACACCAGGAUGUCGGGAGACCUUCGGGUGAUGGUCAGGCGGUUGUUAGCUGCCUCGCUAACAUAAUACUUGUUGCAGCUGGCACCAGGGAACGACAGUCUCCCAGCAGAGAGCAAACACCUGAAACGUGAUCAGCCGCUUCCCAGUACGAUCUCCGGAGCUGGGUGAGCGGGCCGGAGCAGGCCCACUAAGAAGCAAAAUGGCGGAGUUUAACUGGUCUGUGGCCUUCAAGGGAUCUGCAGCUGGUCAUGAAGAGCAUCUCAAGUGAGCACAAGCACAGCUCCAGCCAACGCACCACACACGCUCCCGUCCCGAGCGCUAGCAGACCACGGCACACACGGACAGCCCACCCAUGGGAGGAAUCACAGAGAAGGGAUGCGAGACCCCGGGAGCACGCCUGUCAUCCCAGCACUGUGGGAGGCCAAGGCAGGCGGAUCACAAGGUCAGGAGUUCAAGACCAGCCUGGCCAACAUGGUGAAACCCCGUCUCUACUAAAAAUAUAAAAAAUAGCUGGGCGUGGUGAUGCAUGUUUGUAAUCCCAGCUAAUUAUGAGGCUGAGGCAGGAGAAUCGUUUGAACCCAUCAGGUGGAGCUUGCAGUGAGUCGAGAUGGCACCACUGCGCUCCAGCCUGGGUGACAGAGCGAGACUCCGUCUCAAAAAAACAACCCCAAGUCAAAGGUCGAACUGCACACUAGCCUUUUGAGUUGCCUGCUUGGGCCUUUUCCAAGUGUACUUGCCUUCAUUUUGUUCCUGCUCUAAAGCUGCUCACUUUUCUUUCUUAAUUAUUAUUAUUAUUUUGAGACAGGUUCUCACUCUGUCACCCAAGCUGGAGUGCAGUGGUGUGAUCUCGGCUCACUGCAACCUGUGCCUCCCAGGUUCAAGCAAUUCUCCUGCCUCAGCCUCCCAAGUAGCUGGGAUUACAGGCAUGUGCCACCACGCCCGGCUAAUUUUUGUAUUUUUAGUAGAGGCAGGAUUUCACUACCUUGGCCAGGCUGGUCUCGAACUCCUGGCCUUAAGUGGUCUUCCCACCUUGGCCUCUCAUGGUGCUGGAAUUACAGGCGUGAACCACCGCACCCGGCCUCUAAAGCGUUUUAAUAAACUGUCACUCCUGCUCUAAAACUUGCCUCAGUCUCUCCUUCUGACGUCUGCCCCUCAGUCGAAUUUUUAUUCUGAGGAGGCAAGACCUGAGGUUGCAGCAGAUCCGCGUGCAUUUGCUGUCGCUCCCAGACCUGGAGGAUGCCACCGUGGCCGUGGGACACAGAGAGCUGGAGCAGGCUGCUGGCUGUGCGGGCAGGGAGGAGAGAGCGCGGGGAGAGGGCUGCGGGCGGUGCUGCAGCCUCUCUCUGCGUUUCUAUGGCUCGUCUCUAACUGAGCUCAAACUCCCCAUCCUAACGCAGCCCUGCAGGCCGGGGGAGGGCGCCGGAGACCUGACCCUGAGGAGGGAGACCAGGCCCCGAGGAGGGAGACCUGACCUGGAGGAGGGAGACCAGGCC